rnacentral:sRNA from 1 species
GGACCGACCACCGGAAGGAGGAGGCCGCGGCGGCUUCGGCGGUGGAGGAAAGGAAGAAGAAGAAGAGGCCUGCAGCAGAGCUCGCCGCCGAGACAUCCUCCGAAGAGGCGGAUUCGGAAGCCGCAGGAGCAGAUCGACGCCGUCC